UACAGAGGGCGCAAGCGUUGUUCGGAUUCAUUGGGCGUAAAGGGUGCGUAGGUGGUGAGGCAAGUCUGGUGUGAAAUCUCGGAGCUCAACUCCGAAAUUGCACCGGAUACUGCGUGACUCGAGGACUGUAGAGGAGAUCGGAAUUCACGGUGUAGCAGUGAAAUGCGUAGAUAUCGUGAGGAAGACCAGUUGCGAAGGCGGCUCUCUGGGCAGUUCCUGACACUGAGGCACGAAGGCCAGGGGAGCAAACGGG
rnacentral:rRNA from 1 species